AUUUAUUUAGUAUAUAAGUACAUUUGACUUCCAAUCAAAAAGAUUGAUUAUUCAAAAUAAAUA
rnacentral:tRNA from 2 species